rnacentral:rRNA from 1 species
ACGGGGUGCAGCAGGCGCGAAAACUCCGCAAUACACGAAAGUGUGACGGGGGAACCCCGAGUGCACUCACGCAAGUGAGUGCUUUUGUGAAGUGUAAAUAGCUUCACGAAUAAGAGCUGGGUAAGACCGGUGCCAGCCGCCGCGGUAACACCGGCAGCUCGAGUGGUGAUCACUAUUAUUGGGCCUAAAGCGUCCGUAGCCGGUUUGGUAAGUCCUUGGGCAAAUCCUGUCGCUUAACGGCAGGAAUUCUGAGGAUACUGUCAGACUUGAGGCCGAGAGAGGUCGGAGGUACUUCUGGGGUAGCGGUGAAAUGCUAUAAUCCUAGAGGGACCACCGGUGGCGAAGGCGUCCGACUAGAGCGGGCCUGACGGUAAGGGACGAAAGCCAGGGGAGCGAACGGGAUUAGAUACCCCGGUAGUCCUGGCCGUAAACGCUGUGGGCUAGGUGUUGCAUGCUCUACGAGGGCGUGCAGUGCCGAAGAGAAGUUGAUAAGCCUACCGCCUGGGAAGUACUAUCGCAAGAU